CUCCUUAGUGGGGUACAUGUGUCACCGUCCGGUUCUCCCCUGGUGAGUGGGAGACAAACUCUGCCAACCUUUUAAUUUCCCUUCCCUCGUGAUCCGUGCAGUAUCAGUAUAGCAGAGAAACCCCAGGAAGUGGAAGUCAGGUGUCACGCUGGGAGUUGGCCGACCGUUCGGAUUGGAGGCAGUAUAUAAGGUAGGAAUGAAACCUAACGCCACUUUUGCAUGCAAUCUCCUUCUUCUUCCUCAAACUCAACUUUCUGAAAAUCUCAAAUUCUCCUCCUUCUCUCUAAACCACCCUACCUUCUCUCUAAAAUUCUAACCCAUUUACUGUUCCGAUCACCCUUCAGAUCACACCUGAAGACUCCUGGUGGUCUCCUCUUUCACUUGAACCGUCCGGUUUCGAGUUUGUACCUGAC
rnacentral:lncRNA from 1 species